rnacentral:rRNA from 1 species
UUCGCAAUGCCCGAAAGGGUGACGAAGCGACGCCGCGUGGGUGAGGAAGGCCUUCGGGUUGUAAAGCUCUGUCAGGAGUUAAGAAAUGUAGGUACGCUAAUAUCGUAUCUAUUUGACAAAGGCUCCAAAGGAAGCCACGGCUAACUCUGUGCCAGCAGCCGCGGUAAUACAGAGGUGGCAAGCGUUGUUCGGAAUUAUUGGGCGUAAAGAGCACGUAGGUGGAUUUGUAAGUCAGAUGUGAAAGCCUUCUGUUCAACGGGAGAAUUGCAUCUGAAACUACAAACCUUGAGUAUAGGAGGGGAGAAUGGAACUUCUGGUGGAGCGGUGAAAUGCGUAGAUAUCAGAAGGAACGCCGGCGGCGAAAGCGAUUCUCUGGCCUAUUACUGACACUCAGUGUGCGAAAGCUAGGGGAGCAAACGGGAUUAGAUACCCCGGUAGUCCUAGCCGUAAACGAUGGGCACUAAGUAGAGGGGUUUU